AAUAGAUACCCAGGUAGUCCACCCGUAAACGUUGGGAACUAGUUGUGGGGUCCUUUCCACGGAUUCCGUGACGCAGCUAACGCAUUAAGUUCCCCGCCUGGGGAGUACGGCCGCAAGGCUAAAACUCAAAGGAAUUGACGGGGACCCGCACAAGCGGCGGAGCAUGCGGAUUAAUUCGAUGCAACGCGAAGAACCUUACCAAGGCUUGACAUACACCAGAACACCCUAGAAAUAGGGGACUCUUUGGACACUGGUGAACAGGUGGUGCAUGGUUGUCGUCAGCUCGUGUCGUGAGAUGUUGGGUUAAGUCCCGCAACGAGCGCAACCCUCGUUCUAUGUUGCCAGCACGUAAUGGUGGGAACUCAUGGGAUACUGCCGGGGUCAACUCGGAGGAAGGUGGGGAUGACGUCAAAUCAUCAUGCCCCUUAUGUCUUGGGCUUCACGCAUGCUACAAUGGCCGGUACAAAGGGCUGCAAUACCGUGAGGUGGAGCGAAUCCCAAAAAGCCGGUCCCAGUUCGGAUUGAGGUCUGCAACUCGACCUC
rnacentral:rRNA from 1 species